CUGAGGUCGUGGGUCACUUCUCUGCCACUUGCUCAGUCUCCUGUGUACCAACUCCACCAAGCUGAAGCUUUUCCUCCUUGUGCGGUAUUCUUUGCAGCUCAAGUUUUACCCUCAAGUUUUACCCUCAACUCAAGUUUCACCUUGUACGACCCGUCUUUCGUUGGCCCUAUUUGCCUGCAUCCGUUAGGUUGGCUCCGUCAGGUGGUCGUUGCAUCUCUCUUCUUCCUUUUUCGUUGCCACUGUUUAGCUCUGUUGUGGCCUUCUGGAGUUGCUGUCUUGAGCUUGCCACGUGCUCCAGCUGCUCCCACUCCCAACUUGCUGUUUGCCUUCCACUCUUGUACGCCUUCCCGCUCCGCUGCCCCGUCUUUCAUUUUGUACUGUUUUCCUGCUCCUCAGUCCUGUCUCCAUCUACUCCAUCCUGCCUCCAUCCUGCAUCCAUCUUCCCCCACUUACUUCUUCACCCACUUCCGCUUUCCCCUCACACAAAACUGUUCCUUUAGCUAUCUUGCACGCCUUCUCCCACCUGCUCUGACCUCUUCCAACCUGACCUAUUAGUUGACUGCCAUCAUGAACCAUGGUGCUUCUCCUCUUGCCUGCUCGUCGAAGGCCGCUAUUUGCCCUUUUGUUCCUGUUUUGGUGUUGUUGCUGCUCCUUGCCAUUGCCCUCUUUGCUGCACCAGGCCAACUUCGGCUCGCCCCUCUACCGUGUCCUCUCUUAGCCUCCGUUUACUGCUUAAGGGUUCUCAAUUGAGUUUUAAUUGCUGACUUGGCAUCUCCUUAUUGGUGAAUUGAUGGUAGUUCCCCCGAUCAAUUGAGAUGAUGGAUUCAAUUGAGGACAAAAUUGAGAUUUCGCCUCCUUAUUGGAUGGACAGAGUUGCUGAGAAUUCAUUUACGCCGCUCACCGUGUCUCUUCUUCUUCGAAGCUAUUUUCUCUCUUUCUUCUCUGGUUCCUUCUCCCUUGCUUCUCCUUUAAUUAAACAUUAAACAACAGUGCAAGACAAAUCAGAGGUCAUACAUUGGUUUUUGUCGAAAUUUUCUUUGACUACUCACUUUUCUUGACUGGUUGCAACCAUUAUCAGUAUCACAAGUUUUAUUUUCGGACCUUUAUUUUCUCUUUUAUUUUUUCUCUGAGAUACGUUACAAAUGGCUUGUAGAUCUACUAGAUUUUAUUCUGUUCUCCGGAGGUGUCGUCUGCUCUUUUAUUUUCUUAAAUUUUUUUAGAACUUUAAAAAAAACUCAGUCUCUACGCAUUUGGACCCAUUUGGAAUAUUUCCUUUUUCUUUCUUAUUCUUGAGCAUCUGCUGAGUUGUUACGAGAGAAUAGAUGUUGAAAAAAUUAGUUGAGCCGUAGUGUUUUUGCGCUAUAAACAAUCUUUGAUCUAAUUUAAUCAAUUUUGCUUAAGUUUUUGUCGGUGAAUUAAUCCGGAGAAAGGAAUGAGUAGGAACCUUUUUUUUAACCCCUGGAGUAAGGUAAAUUACUCCAAAUUUAGUGCAUAGUGUCUGGUUAUUUCUUGUUUUGAGUCUUUUCCUGCCAUUGUUGGGAUUUUUUUGGUCUCUUGUUUUUGUAUCCAUGAUGGCUUUAUGUUCAAUUCUGCUUAAUUAGACUGAAACUGCUGUAAUGGCUGGACUAAUUUUAUCAGCGUUGACUUGAAAAUAGUACUUUUCUUGAUAGGACUUAUCAAUAUCUAUCUUAUGAAUCUAAGUUGUACAAACUAACCAAUUGCUUUUUACCUAGGGGCAGUUUUUGCUUAAUACGACUAAUAUAAAUGGUUUUGAUGCUUGUAGGUAGUAAAACAUUUGCCAAAGAAGAAGUCCCAAAUAUUAGAUUUUUUGUACAGGCUAGAAGCGGUAAAACCAUUUUAUGGAUUGCAUUGUAUUGACAUAAAGAGGUAUCGAAGACUGCUACUUUUGCUUAAUGUUGAAUUUUGCAUACAAGUUCCGUGAAGAAUUACGGGCUGAAUUUCUAGGAUGAAGAGUGCGAAAGUUGAUUAACUACUUGAGAUGACUGCUUUUUCGCUUUUCUCCUAUACUGUCAUGAUCAAGACGCAAGAUAAUAUCUUUCCAACCACGAUCAGUGUGCAUUUGACAGUUUGAAUUUCUUUUUUUUUCUUAAUUCUUGCCUCGGUGAUGAUUAGUAAUCAUCCAAAAUUAUUUAUGUAUAAAUAUAUUUAUGGGAACAUCAACGAUUGUCUAGGGAUCAACUGGCCUCUUUACUUAUUCGAUAAUUCCUUUCUCAUA